rnacentral:rRNA from 1 species
GAUGAACGCUGGCGGCGUGCCUAAUACAUGCAAGUCGAGCGAACGGACGAGAAGCUUGCUUCUCUGAUGUUAGCGGCGGACGGGUGAGUAACACGUGGAUAACCUACCUAUAAGACUGGGAUAACUUCGGGAAACCGGAGCUAAUACCGGAUAAUAUUUUGAACCGCAUGGUUCAAAAGUGAAAGACGGUCUUGCUGUCACCUAUAGAUGGAUCCGCGCUGCAUUAGCUAGUUGGUAAGGUAACGGCUUACCAAGGCAACGAUGCAUAGCCGACCUGAGAGGGUGAUCGGCCACACUGGAACUGAGACACGGUCCAGACUCCUACGGGAGGCAGCAGUAGGGAAUCUUCCGCAAUGGGCGAAAGCCUGACGGAGCAACGCCGCGUGAGUGAUGAAGGUCUUCGGAUCGUAAAACUCUGUUAUUAGGGAAGAACAUAUGUGCAAGUAACUGUGCACAUCUUGACGGUACCUAAUCAGAAAGCCACGGCUAACUACGUG